rnacentral:rRNA from 1 species
CAGCAGUGGGGAAUUUUGGACAAUGGGGGCAACCCUGAUCCAGCCAUGCCGCGUGAGUGAAGAAGGCCUUCGGGUUGUAAAGCUCUUUCGGCGGGGAAGAAAUGGCAACGGCUAAUAUCCGUUGUUGAUGACGGUACCCGCAUAAGAAGCACCGGCUAACUACGUGCCAGCAGCCGCGGUAAUACGUAGGGUGCGAGCGUUAAUCGGAAUUACUGGGCGUAAAGCGUGCGCAGGCGGUUUCGUAAGACAGACGUGAAAUCCCCGGGCUCAACCUGGGAACUGCGUUUGUGACUGCGAGGCUAGAGUACGGCAGAGGGGGGUAGAAUUCCACGUGUAGCAGUGAAAUGCGUAGAGAUGUGGAGGAAUACCGAUGGCGAAGGCAGCCCCCUGGGUUAGUACUGACGCUCAUGCACGAAAGCGUGGGGAGCAAACAGGAUUAGAUACCCUGGUAGUCCACGCCCUAAACGAUGUCAACUAGGUGUUGGAAGGGUUAAACCUUUUAGUACCGCAGCUAACGC